GGCUAUGUAGCUCAGUUGGUUAGAGCAUCGCACUCAUAAUGCGGGGGUCACAGGUUCAAGUCCCGUCAUAGCCACCA
rnacentral:tRNA from 1 species